UCCCAGUUGACGAGUCCCAAAUAGGACGAAACGUGCCUUGUCCUGGAU
rfam:Schistosoma rodhaini strain Burundi genome assembly, scaffold: SROB_scaffold0006658